rnacentral:lncRNA from 1 species
GUGUAGGAGACAUGUGGGAGACAAACAUUUGUGGUGCAGCCUACAAUAGCAAUUAAAUUUUUACUUAUUCCCUUCUAUAAACAUAGGAAUGAUGAUUGAAUAGAGUAGAUUCUAACGAAAAGGAGUAAAAGCAUAUACAAAGGAGGGUUGAAUGAUUUCUAAGAAUGUAUUUUCUAAUAAUUUAAAAUUAUUUGAGUUCUUUAGCCCUAUAUAAAUACCCAAUACUUGCUUAG